AUGCGACCCCAGGUCAGGCGGGAUUACCCGCUGAAUUUAA
rnacentral:rRNA from 1 species